AGCCGCCGCGGGAAUACGAAGGGUGCAAGCGUUAAUCGGAAUUACUGGGCGUAAAGCGUGCGUAGGCGGUGAGUUAAGUCUGCUGUGAAAUCCCCGGGCUCAACCUGGGAAUGGCAGUGGAUACUGGCUCGCUAGAGUGUGUCAGAGGAUGGUGGAAUUCCCGGUGUAGCGGUGAAAUGCGUAGAGAUCGGGAGGAACAUCAGUGGCGAAGGCGGCCAUCUGGGACAACACUGACGCUGAGGCACGAAAGCGUGGGGAGCAAACAGGAUUAGAUACCCCAGUGGUCCCUGUCUCUUAUACA
rnacentral:rRNA from 1 species